rnacentral:rRNA from 1 species
AACGUGGAUCCGUAAUCCGGGUUGCGGACAGUGUCUGGUGGGUAGUUUGACUGGGGCGGUCUCCUCCUAAAGAGUAACGGAGGAGCACGAAGGUUGGCUAAUCCUGGUCGGACAUCAGGAGGUUAGUGCAAUGGCAUAAGCCAGCUUGACUGCGAGCGUGACGGCGCGAGCAGGUGCGAAAGCAGGUCAUAGUGAUCCGGUGGUUCUGAAUGGAAGGGCCAUCGCUCAACGGAUAAAAGGUACUCCGGGGAUAACAGGCUGAUACCGCCCAAGAGUUCAUAUCGACGGCGGUGUUUGGCACCUCGAUGUCGGCUCAUCACAUCCUGGGGCUGAAGUAGGUCCCAAGGGUAUGGCUGUUCGCCAUUUAAAGUGGUACGCGAGCUGGGUUUAGAACGUCGUGAGACAGUUCGGUCCCUAUCUGCCGUGGGCGCUGGAGAACUGAGGGGGGCUGCUCCUAGUACGAGAGGACCGGAGUGGACGCAUCACUGGUGUUCGGGUUGUCAUGCCAAUGGCACUGCCCGGUAGCUAAAUGCGGAAGAGAUAAGUGCUGAAAGCAUCUAAGCACGAAACUUGCCCCGAGAUGAGUUCUCCCUGAGACUUAGAGUCUCCUGAAGGAACGUUGAAGACGACGACGUUGAUAGGCCGGGUGUGUAAGCGCAGCGAUGCGUUGAGCUAACCGGUACUAAUGAACCGUGAGGCUUAACCUUACA